rnacentral:rRNA from 1 species
CAGUCGCCGCGGGAAUACGAAGGGUGCAAGCGUUACUCGGAAUUACUGGGCGUAAAGCGUGUGUAGGUGGUUGUUUAAGUCCGUCGUGAAAGCCCUGGGCUCAACCUGGGAAUUGCGAUGGAUACUGGGCGACUAGAGUGCGGUAGAGGAUAGUGGAAUUUCCGGUGUAGCAGUGAAAUGCGUAGAGAUCGGAAGGAACAUCUGUGGCGAAGGCGACUAUCUGGGACAACACUGACGCUGAAGCACGAAAGCGUGGGGAGCAAACAGGAUUAGAUACCCCCGUAGUCCCUGUCUCUUAUAC